GUAAACCAUAGCGAGCAAACCGUGGCGGCAUCGCAAGGCGUCGUCGCGGUUAAUAAGGAUAACCCUGGUAAUUCUGAGGCUAAUACAAGAACGUACAACCCACCCGACCCGCAAGGGAAGGGGGGGGAAUGUGUGACCAGGCACGCAAAUUCGAAACUGGGAGUGGCCACACGUUCAGACCGUCAUACCAAACAGUCGCUCGCUUUGAAAGUCCUCGUGACGAGUAAACGGCGGGCUUCUGGGCGGCUCUCGCUGUGUGCUUCUGACCUAUCAACUAGAUGGCAGCGUAACGGACAUGCUAUGGUGACAACGGGUACAGAGGAUAAGGGUUCGAUCCUGGAGAGUGGGCCUGAGAGAUU
rnacentral:rRNA from 1 species